CAUGAUUUUACGCGUCGACAAUUCGCGACACCUCGUUUAAUAAAUAUUAUCGCGGGGUGAUAGAUAUUAACUUUAUGUUUACCACAUUGUCUCUUAAAUGUAAAUACCUUGAAAACAAGUUCAGCUUGAUGUUUUAAAUUAAAUACAGCUGCUUUGUUUAUUAACGUCAUUUAAUACUAUUUCUAGACCAAUUUAAGCUAAUUUCUGCUAAUAUGUACGUUCUGCUCGUGUUGUUGCUGGUACUCCAGGUUGUGACCUGUGCUGUAAUAACAAAUUCACAAGAGCAGCCAUGCAAUAUGGGAGCUGCAUGUAGUCAAAGCAAUUCUGUAAGCUACGUGAACAAUGUACGUUAUUGCUGUCCGAGUGGUAAUGGAAUCAGCGUGUCCUCGAGAUCAUCUGGGAUGUACAACAGUGGGCAGACCUAUACUACAUGCACAUGUCACUCUGAACGGCACUGUGAUGAAGGAGAUGUUUGUCGUAAUAGCAGUUCUGUAGGCUACGUCAAUGGUGUACGAUAUUGCUGUCCGAAUGGUGGUGGAUCAAGCAUGUCCUCGGUGUACAACAAUGGACAGGCCUAUACCCGAUGCAUAUGUCAUUCUGGCACAACAAUUGCAUCCACAGGAAAUUUUGACUGGAAUGCCCAUAACAAGAAAAUGCGGAAGUUUAAUAGGGAACUAAAGCGAAGGCUGUCUCAAAUGAAUAAGCAACUUAACCAAAGAAUGCAACAAGCUGAUCGGCAACUCAAGCGAGAAAUGCAGCAACUGUCUUCGCGACUGAAUAAUAUGUUUCGUAGAAACUCCUUCUUUGGUCGUUAAAGAGACAAGUUCAAGUUUCUCAAUGUUUAAAGUCUCAAUACCACUCUUGUUGUAACUGAAUAAUAUGUCCCAAUCUUUAUUCUGGUCAACAAAUUUUACUAUUUUACAAUAUUCCAAUUAAUUGAUGAUACAAAUUUCAUCUUAACACACCUAAUUUAAAAAAUUGGAAAAAUUCAACUAAAUGAUUUGAAAAGCCUAACGUAAAGCUUUUCAAAUGUGACUUGGAUUUAAAAAUAUUUUCGAACCCUCUGGACAAGUAAAAUAGGAUUUAAUGGAUAAUUUACACAACAGGUAGGAUACUUAAACAUCUAAUACUUAGAAUAAGGCUAUUAUUUAUUUUCUGCAGCUGUCAAGCCAGCAAGAGUGUUAUUGUCCCUUUAAAAAUACAUUAUUAUUAUGUAACAUGUAUCUGAUUAUAAAGGUAAAGUCGAGAUAAUAGAAAGAGAACUGAAGUAUAAGAAUAAAAUUGCUAAUAUCCAAUAUCCCAAUUUUGUUUAAUGUAUCGUCUAAUAAGUGUACUCCACUCACUAGUAAACGAACUUUUCUAUUGGUAGAAAUGAAAUGAAAUGGGGUUUAACGUUCUACUAUUCUGCUCCGAACUGGGCUAAUGAAGACGGGCAUACGCCAUACAGUGUGCUAUAAGGACAAUUUUGCCCGGACAGCGGCACUACGGCCUACUCUUAUAUCGAAUUCCAUCUGUCAAGGGAUCUUUUACGUGCACGUCAAUGUGUACAAUGUAGACAGCUGCCCUUGUCAGACCCUCCGUCCUGCAUCACUGACAAGGGGGGAAUCACGUCGGAAAAUCUGGAUGAACUCUCUCGGCCAAUGCAGGGAUCGAACACCCGACCUCCAGGCUAGCGAACCAGCGUCUUACCCAUUUAACCACCGUGACCCCCUGUAUUGGUAGACCAUGAAUUGAUUGCCCUUUGGGUUCCAAGGUACAGUACAUGCGAUCGGUCACAUUUAGUUAAUACAAAGCACCAACUACUGUGCGUUAGAUCACAAGGUCUGUCAGUGGUGUGGUUUCGAUGACAAAUAGUGGGGUCGCCUGUCUAACCUCGUGGGUACGCGCAAACCAAUUAUUGAAAUCCAAUAGGACCAUUAUGUUAGUUCCGAAAUGGCCUAGUAUGGAAGUUAAACCCCCAUUUCUCUUUUUAAAACAUUAUCGUUUCUAUACAUUAAAGCAUGUUCAUUUGAAAUGUAUGAAAUUAGAUAUUAUAUAGAUCUAAUCUAUGUAUUUCUGAUUAGUCAUAACCAGGUCAUUAAUAUUGUAAACAACCGGACGCGGUUUAAUAACAUGCAAUUAUCUCAACUUCCUUCUAUUGAAUUUUAAACGCAUUUAACCAAAUAUGUCCCGAAUAUUCUAGUGCAUUCUAGUAUUACAGAUUUAAAGAGAUUUAUAGAAUAUUUAUUACAAGUCAAUCCAUAGCUUUGCAGUAUCUCUAUAUUUUGUCCAGCUUGUGCUCUGGAGAAAAGAGGUUUAUGAAAUCCAUAAUUGAUUACACAUUAAAACCUUAAGGUAACGACGCGUGAGUUUCGUUUUUUUCGGAAAAUAUCAAUUUUCUACGCUAAUAUGUACUCAAAUUAAUAAUUUAACUAAGAACACAAAUUCAGAAUACCAACGCUAGAUAAUCUUCCGGAUUGGAUUCAAUUGGAUUUAAAACAGGCCCAUCAACUGGUUUACAGCAAAUAAAGAUGGUGGCUGUUUUUUUACACGUUGAGAAGAAUGUUCAAUUCGUCAUAUCUCUGUAAACGUUGUACGGAAUUGAUCCAUUUUUGGAUUGAUCUCCCUAUUAGAGUUUCAACUUACACAAUAUUAGAGAGAUAAAAUCUAGCAUAAAGUCUUUAAUAAUUGUCCAUUUACAAAAGUUCAUUAAAGAAAUGAAAUGAAAUGAAAUGGGGUUUAACGUCCUACUGUUCUGCUCCUAACCUGGGGUAAUGAAGACGGGCAUACGCCAUACAGUGUGCUAUGAGGGAAAUUUUCCCCGGGCAGCGGCGCUACGGCCUACUCUUAUAUCGAAUUCCAACUGCCAAGGGAUCUUUUACGUGCACGCCAAUGUGUACACGGGACCUCGGUUUUUCGUUCCAUCCGAACGACUAGACAGCUGUCCUUGUCAGGCCCUCCAUCCUGCAUCACAGACAAGGGGAACCACGCCGGAAAAUCUGAAUGAACUUUCUCUGGCAAUGCAGGGAUCGAACACCCGACCUCCAGGCUAGUGAGUCAUCGUCUUACCCACUUAGCCACGUGAUCCCCAAGUUUCUUUAAGAUAGAUUUUGUUAAUUGUGUAAAACAUAAGCACUUUGUUCAAAAGUUCGAGUGGGAUGGUUGCUAAUAAUCAAAGAAAAAAAACCAACCUCUUUAAACAAAGGAAUUCUCCCAAAACGAUGAGUUCUCUGUUAACUGCUUUUGUCACGUGUGUUCUCUAGACAUUAUAAUAUAAGUAUACCGAUUAGGGAAGUAAUACUAGUGUAGAAUAGUCGAGAUUGCUGAACUGCUGUGUAUCUUGAAUUGAAUCAUGCGGGCUUUAGUACUGUUGUUUCUCAUAGACUGCGCUGUAGCUGCAACAAUUCGACCUAUUCAAGCUGUUACAACACAGAGAGCAGACCAACGCUGUAGCAGUGGGGAUGACUGUGAACAUGUAUAUUUUAUAAGCUACAUAAACAAUGUACCAUACUGCUGUCCACAUGGAAAUGGAAUUAUGAGGUCUGCUUCUAACUAUGUAAAUGGUCAAGAAAUCAUCGAAUGUUUCUGCAACACAGAGGAAGUGCAUCAACCAGAUAGACAUGAUAGACAUUAUUAUGACCAUGGACACCACUGGAGACACUGGCGUGACAGGUGGCUGUCGUUGGAUAGGUAUAUCAGAGACAGGAUAGUAGACGUAGGCAACUUAUUUCGUGAACGUCCAUUUACUGGUUGGUCGAAGUAAUUAUUGAAAGUCCAUUUGGGAUUAUGGUGACACACUAUUUGUUUAAAAUUGUCAUACCUUCAAAGAAACAAUUUUGAAGCAUUGUUUAAAAUAAAACUUUAAAUUUUUUUAUCCAAGUGACAUGCGUUAAUUAUAUGAUAUACACGGUUAUAUUUGCAGCGCUUUAAAAUAAAUAAUUGUCUUUGCAUCGA